UCCGGCAUCAGUUUUCCCCUUUCCACUUUUAAUAUGAGUGCCUUCAAGUCAAGAGUAAAUAAGCAUCUUCUAGACAAGCAAGCUCCAUCUUAGGCUGCAUCAUCACUUGCUAGCAGGUCUGAUUGCAGCCCAACACUAAUCUAUAAAUUAG